AUAGGUCGUAUGAAUAAAACCGAGUACUUGCUCAUGCUCAACCCGAUUUGAGCAAAGUAAAGUCUCUGAGCAUUUACUCAAAACCGUAUGAAUAAAACAAUACUUUGCUCAGAGUAAGUUCGAAUUUCGAACUUAGCAUUUACUCUGUCAAAAAUGUUGUUUUUGUUUUGGAUAGCGAGGAAGAAUAAUUCCAUCGGUGAAAACAGUAUGUACCUUCGCGGAUUUUAAACGUAUUUGGUCGUUUGUUACCGGCUGCUGAAGCAUACAAAACCCUGAGAAAACUCAACCGGGAAGAAAUUGAAGGUAUCCUGUGUCGCCCGUUGGUAUCUCAAUCGAUGAUGUUGCUGCAGAGUGUGGUAACCGAUCCGUCUGAUUAUCGAUCGGCUCAAUCCUACCUUGCGCCGCAUAAGUCACCGAUGGAUGUAACCGGUCCGUACGCAACGCCCUUAUCGAUGGGGUCAGUUAAAGAACCAAAAUAUGCCCAGGAAGGUCAAAAGCUCAUCAAGUGACCCUGCGAGGCGGAUUGCUUUGGCGACAGGCAACAUAUAUGCAGCACCAUCAAAAUGUGAAACAAAUACCUACAAUAAUUUUGGCGUCAACUUCCGUGGGUAUCAAUAUUCAAGAAGCCACCCACAUCAGGUGACCGGAUUGGCUACUAGUGAAGGAGGGUCCAUGGGAUGAAGCUAUGGGCCCAUAAUAGACUGCAUAAUACUGAAUAAAUCAUACUUCCAAACAUAA